CUCAUUUUUUUCAUCAAAAAAGAUUUAAUUUUAUCUGAAAUGGAGGAAUAUGACUUUGAUCAUAAAAUAGUAGAAGUAAAUGGGAUAAAUAUGCAUGUUGUUGAAAAAGGACAUGGUCCUUUUGUUCUAUUUAUCCAUGGUUUCCCAGAAUUAUGGUAUUCAUGGAGGCACCAAAUUAUAUUCAUGGCUAAACAUGGUUAUAGAGCCAUGGCUCCUGAUCUUCGUGGUUAUGGUGAUACAACAGGAGUACCCAAAGAUGAUCCAAGCAAGUUUAGCUCUUUAAGAGUUGUGGGUGACUUAGUGGAACUUUUAAAUACCAUUGUGUCUGAGGAAGAUAAAGUGUUUGUUGUUGGCCAUGAUUGGGGUGCUAAGAUUGCUUGGGAACUUUGUUUAUUGAGGCCAGACAAAGUUAAGGCUUUGGUUAAUAUGAGUGUGCCAUUUUCUCCAAGGAAUCCUAAGAGAAAACCAAUUGAGUCAUUGAAGGCUAUCUAUGGUGAUGACUAUUAUGUUGUUAGAUUCCAGGAGCCUGGAGUGAUGGAAGCAGAGUUUGCAAAAAUAGGCACUAAAAAAGUGUUGGGGAAAUUUUUAACUUAUAGGAACCCUGGACCAUUAUACAUGCCUAAAGGCAAGCCUUUUGAUGAUAGUCCAGUAAUUUUGCCCUCUUGGCUAUCACAAAAAGAAGUUGAUUAUUUUGCUAGCAAAUAUGAACAAACUGGCUUUACUGGUGGAUUUAAUUAUUACAGAGCACUUGACUUAAAUUGGGAAUUGACAGCAGCAUGGAGUGGUGCAAAAGUGAAAGUACCAGUAAAGUUCAUUGUGGGAGAUUUGGAUUUAACUUAUAAUGCCCCUGGAGCAAAAGACUAUAUAAACAAAGGUGGAAUGAAAAAAGAUGUGCCUUUGCUAGAAAAAGUGGUUAUAUUGGAAAAUGUUGGCCAUUUCCUUCAACAAGAAAAACCUGAUGAAAUUAACAAACACAUUCAUGAUUUCUUCAAGGGAUUUUCUUCUACUUGAAGGUUUGAAGAUUUAGCCCUUUCAAGUUUUGUAUUGGGGAUAAGUAGCUUUUGAUGUAAUUGAAUAAAGUACAUGUGAAGAAAGUGGUUAUGUUGGAAAGAC
rnacentral:misc_RNA from 1 species